rnacentral:rRNA from 1 species
AGUGGAUGGGGAGCAACCUAGUUGUGCGUGUGUAAAGGUAGUGCCAAGAAAAGCGGUGAUCAUGAUGAAAAUCAAUUCCCGGUACCCGAAACCGACACAGGUGGGCAAGUAGAGAAUACUAAGGGGCGCGAGGUAACUCUCUCCAAGGAACUCGGCAAAAUGACCCCGUAACUUAGGGAGAAGGGGUGCCACCGAGAGGUGGUCGCAGUGAAGAGGCCCAGGCGACUGUUUAGCAAAAACAUAGGUCUCUGCAAACUCGAAAGAGGAGGUAUAGGGGCUGACGCCUGCCCAGUGCCGGAAGGUUAAAGAAGUUGGUCAGUCUUAGGAUAAAGCUAGCGACUGAAGCCCCGGUGAACGGCGGCCGUAACUAUAACGGUCCUAAGGUAGCGAAAUUCCUUGUCGGGUAAGUUCCGACCCGCACGAAGGCGUAACGAUCUGGGCGCUGUCUCGGAGAGAGGCUCGGCGAAAUAGGAUUGUCUGUGAAGAUACGGACUACCUGCAUUUGGACAGAAAGACCCUAUGAAGCUUUACUAUAGCUUGGAAUUGUGUUCGGGCUUCCUGUGCGCAGGAUAGGUGGGAGGCGUAGAAGGUAUUCUUGUGGGGAUACUGGAGCCAACGGUGAGAUACCACUCUCAGGAGGCUAGAAUUCUAACUUAAUUAAGGACAGUUUCAGGUGGGUAGUUUGACUGGGGCGGUCGCCUCCAAAAAGGUAACGGAGGCGUACAAAGGUUCCCUCAGACUGGUUGGAAAUCAGUCGCAGAGUGCAAAGGCAGAAGGGAGCUUGACUGCGAGAAGUACAGUUCGAGCAGGGUGGAAACACGGUCUUAGUGAUCCGACGGUGCUGUGUGGAAGGGCCGUCGCUCAACGGAUAAAAGUUACUCUAAGGAUAACAGGCUGAUCUCCCCCAAGAGUUCACAUCGACGGGGAGGUUUGGCACCUCGAUGUCGGCUCAUCGCAACCUGGGGCGGAAGUACGUCCCAAGGGUUGGGCUGUUCGCCCAUUAAAGCGGUACGUGAGCUGGGUUCAGAACGUCGUGAGACAGUUCGGUCCAUCUCCGAUGUAGGCGUGAGAAUAUUGAGAGGAGCCUUCCUUAGUACGAGAGGACCGGGAAGGACGCACCGCUGGUGUACCUGUUAUGAUGCCAAUUGUAAACGCAGGGUAGCCAAGUGCGGAGGAUAACCGCUGAAAGCAUCUAAGUGGGAAGCCCACCUCAAGAUGAGUAUUCUGGUGUAAGGUCACGGGAAGACGACCCGUAAAUAGGCACGAGGUGGAAGUGCAGAGAUGUAUGAAGCCGAAGUGUACUAAUAGACCGUCGGCUUGACC